AUCGCCUUUCUGCUCUCUGCCUUGUUUGUGCUUCCUGGGCUUCGGUAGUUCUUCACGUUUCUCCUAGCUCUCCCCUUCCCUCUCAACGUUGUUUUGCGCUGCCAGGGUUUAUGAUCGGAGUGCAUGGAGAGAGGUGAAAAGGAGAUCAAUUUAUUUUAAUAUCUUCCAGAUUAAAUGGUCCAUUUGUGCAGUCUGGCUGGAUGAUUUCUAUGAGCACAUCAUCACAACUCUUUGCACUCUCACUGUUGGAAAGGUAAAAUUAUCUUUGGAAAUAUGGAAGUCACCAAAGGUCUGAUAUAUGCACUCAAUUGUUAUUUGGGGCUUUGGUUUUAUUUUGUGUGUGUCUUGACACUUUUUGUAUUGACGCUAAAACAGCAAUACAAAAAGACCAAGGAAGUUUGAGAUAAUGGUUAAAUCAAUUGAGAAUGUAGAGCUACACUUUUGUAUACAUUUAACAUUGAGUGGUAUUUAUUUAUUUUUCUCUCACUCUGCUUGAGCAUUUGAAAGGCUUUAUAAUGAAGUUUUAUUUUUGA